rnacentral:rRNA from 1 species
GACGAACGCUGGCGGCGUGCCUAAUACAUGCAAGUCGAACGCACUCUCGUUUAGAUUGAAGGAGUUUGCUCCUGAUUGAUAAACAUUUGAGUGAGUGGCGGACGGGUGAGUAACACGUGGGUAACCUGCCCUAAAGUGGGGGAUAACAUUUGGAAACAGAUGCUAAUACCGCAUAAAACCUAACACCGCAUGGUGUAGGGUUGAAAGAUGGUUUCGGCUAUCACUUUAGGAUGGACCCGCGGUGCAUUAGUUAGUUGGUGAGGUAAAGGCUCACCAAGACCGUGAUGCAUAGCCGACCUGAGAGGGUAAUCGGCCACACUGGGACUGAGACACGGCCCAG